rnacentral:lncRNA from 10 species
AUCUUUUUUCCUACCCCCCUUGGGGCGACCGUGGGGAGGUGCCGCCGGGGUCGCAGGUGAGCGGUUCUAUGCUGGAGGAGGCGGCCAGGGAAGCGGCGGCUCCGUGACCAGUGGGUGCCCUCGCAGUGGGUAGGGUCCCGGAGGGGUCAGCGGCAAUUGGCGCAACGCUUGCUGCCGGGUUUGGUCCAAGGGCUGCGACGUAGCGGGACUGCACGCUCGGGAGAAGUGCCACGCGCGUCUGUCGCCUGACCGGGGAGGCUGGGGAGGGCCCAGGCCACGGAAACAAGACUGCAGAAGUUUCUGGGCACUCAGUCGGGACUCUCAUUUAAUACCCAGAGAGAGGAGAUCUUCCAGGUUGCCCCGACUCCCACCGGGACUCCUACCAGCAGCAACCUCAUCAUUGUGGCCGAGGCAGGAAUUAUCCAGACUGCCUUGCCACUAGAUGAAUGGAAGACAAUGAUUUGAACUAAGGGCCAGCAAAGAAUUAUCCCUGGUUUUUGUGCUUUGCAGCAUUCCUCAAAUUGUUUUCACAUCUCUUACCAUAAAAACUGCAUUGAAAUUGAAAAUGAAGCAGUUGAAAAGAAAAAGGAAAAGCAAUUUUAGUGUUCAAGAAACUCAGACCCUUUUGAAAGAAAUUACGAAAAGGAAAGAAGUCAUUUUUUCCAAGCAGCUCAAUACAACAAUUAAUGUGAUGAAGCGAAUGGCUUGGGAAGAGAUUGCACAGUGUGUGAAUGCUGUAGGAGAAGGAGAACAGAGGACAGGGACAGAGGUGAAAAGAAG